rnacentral:rRNA from 1 species
CCUACGGGGGGCAGCAGUGGGGAAUAUUGCGCAAUGGGCGAAAGCCUGACGCAGCGACGCCGCGUGAGGGAUGAAGGUCUUCGGAUCGUAAACCUCUGUCAGCAGGGAAGAACGGUCACUGUGCUAAUCAGCAGUGAAUUGACGGUACCUGCAAAGGAAGCACCGGCUAACUCCGUGCCAGCAGCCGCGGUAAUACGGAGGGUGCGAGCGUUAAUCGGAAUUACUGGGCGUAAAGCGCUCGUAGGCGGUAUGUCAAGUCAAGGGUGAAAUCCCCGCGCUCAACGUGGGAACUGCCUUUGAAACUGGCAAACUGGAGUGUGUGAGAGGAUAGUGGAAUUCCAGGUGUAGGAGUGAAAUGCGUAGAGAUCUGGAGGAACAUCAGUGGCGAAGGCGACUAUCUGGCACAUAACUGACGCUGAGGAGCGAAAGCGUGGGUAGCAAACAGGAUUAGAUACCCGGGUAGUC